GAGCUGGGAGAGUUUGAGAAAGAUCAAGAAAGGGAAAGGCUAGUAGAGGAGAGAAUCAGUUCAUCUAAAAGUGGAAAUCAAACAAGGAUUUAAUAUUUGUUCAAGUCCAUUAAGAAGGGAGCCAAGGAAGAAGCAAGGGGAAGUUAGUACGGAAGAAAAAGCAAAAGCAAGAGCAAGUACUCCUAAGGGCAAGGGAGUAGUGAUUGGUGGAGUUUAAAGGUGCAGGAAGC